rnacentral:lncRNA from 1 species
UUAUAAACUGGGCCCAUUCAUGAGGUACAGAAAUAUUCAUAGUAGGCAGUCUUUUCUUCUUUCUCUCAAUUAGUGCAUGUAUUGUGUCUGCUUCGUUGUGUGUAUGCCUCUUGAGUAAAUAUUUAUGAUGAAUUCUAACUACUGAGGUGUUAUGGACAGCCCACAUAUACAUACAAAA